GAUGAACGCUGGCGGCGUGCUUAACACAUGCAAGUCGAACGAUGAAGCCCAGCUUGCUGGGUGGAUUAGUGGCGAACGGGUGAGUAACACGUGAGUAACCUGCCCUUAACUCUGGGAUAAGCCUGGGAAACUGGGUCUAAUACCGGAUAGGAGCGUCCACCGCACGGUGGGUGUUGGAAAGAUUUAUCGGUUUUGGAUGGACUCGCGGCCUAUCAGCUUGUUGGUGAGGUAAUGGCUCACCAAGGCGACGACGGGUAGCCGGCCUGAGAGGGUGACCGGCCACACGGGGAAUGGGACACGGCCCCGGCGCCUGCGGGAGGCAGAGGGGGGGAAUAUUGCACAAGGGGCGCAAGCCUGAUGCAGGGACCCCGGGUGGGGGAAGACGGCCUUGGGGUUGGAACCCUCUUUAGGUAGGGAAAAAGCGAAAUGGGGGGACCCGGCAGAAGAAGCCCGGCCAAACUACGG
rnacentral:rRNA from 1 species